CACGUAGGGGGCAAGCGUUGUCCGGAUUUAUUGGGCGUAAAGAGCUCGUAGGCGGUUCGGUAAGUCGGGUGUGAAACCUCCAGGCUCAACCUGGAGAUGCCACCUGAUACUGCUGUGACUCGAGUCCGGUAGGGGAGCGUGGAAUUCCUGGUGUAGCGGUGAAAUGCGCAGAUAUCAGGAGGAACACCAGCGGCGAAGGCGGCGCUCUGGGCCGGAACUGACGCUGAGGAGCGAAAGCGUGGGGAGCGAACAGG
rnacentral:rRNA from 1 species